ACCCUAAGGGACGUAUAAUCUCGGGAACUGAGAAUAAUGCCCGAUAGAACAUUAUGCCUGGAAUGGUUUAUGUUUCAAAUGAUUUAUCGCCAUAGGAUGGGACUGCGGCCUAUCAGUUUGUUGGUGAGGUAAUGGCCCACCAAGACUAUUACAGGUACGGGCUCUGAGAGGAGUAGCCCGGAGAUGGGUACUGAGACACGGACCCAGGCCCUAUGGGGCGCAGCAGGCGAGAAAACUUUGCAAUGUGCGAAAGCACGACAAGGUUAAUCCGAGUGGUUUCUGCUAAAGAAACCUUUUGUCAGUCCUAGAAACACUGACGAAUAAGGGGUGGGCAAGUUCUGGUGUCAGCCGCCGCGGUAAAACCAGCACCUCAAGUGGUCAGGAUGAUUAUUGGGCCUAAAGCAUCCGUAGCUCGUUUUGUAAGUUUUCGGUUAAAUCCAUGCGCUUAACGUAUGGGCUGCCGGGAAUACUGCAUAACUAGGAAGUGGGAGAGGUAGACGGUACUCGGUAGGAAGGGGUAAAAUCCUUUGAUCUAUUGAUGACCACCUGUGGCGAAGGCGGUCUACCAGAACACGUUCGACGGUGAGGGAUGAAAGCUGGGGGAGCAAACCGGAUUAGAUACCCGGGUAGUCCCAGCUGUAAACUAUGCAAACUCAGUGAUGCAUUGGCUUGUGGCCAAUGCAGUGCUGCAGGGAAGCCGUUAAGUUUGCCGCCUGGGAAGUACGUACGCAAGUAUGAAACUUAAAGGAAUUGGCGGGGGAGCAC
rnacentral:rRNA from 1 species